UACGUAGGGGGCGAGCGUUGUCCGGAGUUACUGGGCGUAAAGGGCAUGCAGGCGGUCGUACGCGUUUUGUGUGACAGCGGGUGGCUUAACUACCCGAGUAUGUGAAAGACGGUAUGACUUGAGGGCUCGAGAGGGACACGGAAUUCCGGGUGGAGUGGUGAAAUGCGUAGAUAUCCGGAGGAAUACCAAAGGCGAAGGCAGUGUCCUGGGUGGUUUCUGACGCUGAGGUGCGAAAGCUAGGGGAGCGAACGGG
rnacentral:rRNA from 1 species